UACGAAGGGGGCUAGCGUUGCUCGGAAUCACUGGGCGUAAAGGGUGCGUAGGCGGGUCUUUAAGUCAGGGGUGAAAUCCUGGAGCUCAACUCCAGAACUGCCUUGAUACUGAAGAUCUUGAGUUCGGGAGAGGUGAGUGGAACUGCGAGUGUAGAGGUGAAAUUCGUAGAUAUUCGCAAGAACGACCAGUGGCGAAGGCGGCUCACUGGCCCGAGUACUGACGCUGAGGCACGAAAGCGUGGGGGAGCCAAAGCAGGAUUA
rnacentral:rRNA from 1 species